rnacentral:rRNA from 1 species
UGGGGAAUAUUGGACAAUGGGCGCAAGCCUGAUCCAGCCAUGCCGCGUGAGUGAUGAAGGCCCUAGGGUUGUAAAGCUCUUUCAACGGUGAAGAUAAUGACGGUAACCGUAGAAGAAGCCCCGGCUAACUUCGUGCCAGCAGCCGCGGUAAUACGAAGGGGGCUAGCGUUGUUCGGAUUUACUGGGCGUAAAGCGCACGUAGGCGGAUCGUUAAGUGAGGGGUGAAAUCCCAGGGCUCAACCCUGGAACUGCCUUUCAUACUGGCGAUCUGGAGUUCGAGAGAGGUGAGUGGAAUUCCGAGUGUAGAGGUGAAAUUCGUAGAUAUUUGGAGGAACACCAGUGGCGAAGGCGGCUCACUGGCUCGAUACUGACGCUGAGGUGCGAAAGUGUGGGGAGCAAACAGGAUUAGAUACCCUGGUAGUCCACACCGUAAACGAUGAAUGCCAGUCGUCGGGUAGCAUGCUAUUCGGUGACACACCUAACGGAUUAAGCAUUCCGCCUGGGGAGUACGGUCGCAGAUUAAAACUCAAAGGAAUU